rnacentral:rRNA from 1 species
AUUGAACGCUGGCGGCAGGCCUAACACAUGCAAGUCGAGCGGAUGAAGGGAGCUUGCUCCUGGAUUCAGCGGCGGACGGGUGAGUAAUGCCUAUGAAUCUGCCUGGUAGUGGGGGAUAACGUCCUGAAACGGGCGCUAAUACCGCAUACGUCCUGAGGGCGCAAGUGGGGGAUCUUCGGACCUCACGCUUUCAUAUGUGCCUAGGUCGGAUUCGCUAGUUGGUGGGGUAAAGGCCUACCAAGGCGACGAUCCGUAACUCGUCUGAGAGGAUGAUCAGUCACACGGGAAGAGAGACACGGUCCAGACUCCUGCGGGAGGAAGCAGUGGAGAAUAUUAGGCGAGGGACGAAAGGGGAAUCCAGCCAAACCGCGUGUGGGAUGAAGGACCCAGGAUGGGAAAACGCUUUAAGUUGGGGGAAAGGAAAGUUAGUUAAUACGUGACUGUUUUGACGUUACCAGCAGAAUAAGCACCGGCUAACUUCGUG